rnacentral:rRNA from 1 species
GAUGAACGCUGCGGCGUGCCUAAUACCUGCCAGUCGAGCGAACGGACGAGAAGCUUGCUUCUCUGAUGUUAGCGGCGGACGGGUGAGUAACACGUGGAUAACCUACCUAUAAGACUGGGAUAACUUCGGGAAACCGGAGCUAAUACCGGAUAAUAUUUUGAACCGCAUGGUUCAAAAGUGAAAGACGGUCUUGCUGUCACUUAUAGAUGGAUCCGCGCUGCAUUAGCUAGUUGGUAAGGUAACGGCUUACCAAGGCAACGAUGCAUAGCCGACCUGAGAGGGUGAUCGGCCACACUGGAACUGAGACACGGUCCAGACUCCUACGGGAGGCAGCAGUAGGGAAUCUUCCGCAAUGGGCGAAAGCCUGACGGAGCAACGCCGCGUGAGUGAUGAAGGUCUUCGGAUCGUAAAACUCUGUUAUUAGGGAAGAACAUAUGUGUAAGUAACUGUGCACAUCUUGACGGUACCUAAUCAGAAAGCCACGGCUAACUACGUG